rnacentral:rRNA from 1 species
AACGCUGGCGGCGUGCCUAAUACAUGCAAGUCGAACGCAUUUUCUUUCACCGUAGCUUGCUACACCGAAAGAAAAUGAGUGGCGAACGGGUGAGUAACACGUGGGUAACCUGCCCAUCAGCGGGGGAUAACACUUGGAAACAGGUGCUAAUACCGCAUAAUUUCAUUUACCGCAUGGUAGAUGGAUGAAAGGCGCUUUUGCGUCACUGAUGGAUGGACCCGCGGUGCAUUAGCUAGUUGGUGGGGUAACGGCCUACCAAGGCUGCGAUGCAUAGCCGACCUGAGAGGGUGAUCGGCCACACUGGGACUGAGACACGGCCCAGACUCCUACGGGAGGCAGCAGUAGGGAAUCUUCGGCAAUGGACGCAAGUCUGACCGAGCAACGCCGCGUGAGUGAAGAAGGUUUUCGGAUCGUAAAACUCUGUUGUUAGAGAAGAACAAGGAUGAGAGUGGAAAGUUCAUCCCUUGACGGUAUCUAACCAGAAAGCCACGGCUAACUACGUGCCAGCCGCCGCGGUAAU